CUGUAGAGAGUGCAAGCCAAAAUGGAAGAUGGUCCUGUUUCCUAUGGCUUUAAAAACAUUUUUGUUACAAUGUUUGCUACUUUUUUUUUCUUCAAACUUUUAAUCAAAGUGUUUUUGGCUCUCCUAACUCAUUUCUAUAUCGUCAAAGGAAAUAGAAAAGAAGCGGCUAGGAUAGCAGAAGAGAUCUAUGGUGGAAUUUCAGGUAAAAUCACACGCGUGUGUUCUCAACACUUAAAAAAAAAACCCUCCUAGAUGAUUCGUACGAAUGAUAUUUCUGGAGGGUGGAUUUUAUUCGUGGUUUGGCUUUGUGUGGGUACUUUUAGAAACUACAGCACCGAUUUGUGAAGGAGUUUCAGCUUUAUUUUUGCAAGUUCGUAGUACUAUUAUUAGUGGUUAUUAUUUAAGAAGGAACUAGGGUAGUGGCUUUUUAAGAGCAUUUGGAGAAAUCUCGUUUCCACUAACCUGAAAAAUUACUGAUGGGGGAUUUUCUUUAAUAUUUCUCAACAAAGUUUAACAAUGCAUUCUAACGAGACCGGGUCCCCUCCGGAAAUAGAAUGACCAAUAUAUCUGAUUUCAAGCAGCAGCUGUGGCAUGCUAUAUAUAUUUUUGUGUUGUCGUUUGCAGUGCGAAUCGAUUAGCCACUUGUCGCUGGCAGGAAAAAUCCUUCACGACGCGGCUUUUACUCGUGUGAAAUGCCAACAUUUGGGUGAAACGUUUUAAACUGUCCUGCUUUGUAGGAUUUCAUCUCCGUUUCUCUCCAGAAAUGAUUCACCUUAAUUGUCGUGAGAUGCCACAAAAGUAAAUGAAUCAGAUACACUUGUUGCUGCUGGGCUUGUCACUUGAGAGAGGAGAAUUUAUUCGUAAACAGAGUUCAGAUUUUCCCUCUGUUAUUUUUAGCGUUCAUAGGGGUUUCCAGGAUGACAUCAUUCUCUUUAUCUAGCGUCCAUUUCAAUUUGCACCCAGGAUUCUCUUUCAAAAUAGACUUAGGCUGUGUGAUUCCAAUAUGCCAGACAACUUCGAAGACGCUAGAUAACAGCAGUAUCCCAAGAAAUAAGACCUCCAAAGAUAAAGCAUCAGAAUGCUUCAAUUAACUGGGGGAAAUGAGGAGAGUCGUGAAGUUUCAGGAAGUGUCAGAAGGCCCGGAAUGUGGAAAGAGGUUUCUUUUGGGGAUUACAUUUGUCACACAUUUCAGGGAGGUACGUUGCUUAGACUGGUUUAAAAAAAAAAAAAAAGCUUCUCUUUAGUUUCAAGUUAAGUGUGAUCUGAAAAUCGUAUUUUCUAAUUUGAUAUGUAAAUAUGAACAGGGCUUUGUGAGAGUUUCAGUAACACAGUUUUGGUAUUCUCAGAGAUACAUCAUCCUCAUGGUUUAAAUGAGGUCAAAUCCAACAAAGUCGUUAUUGCAAGAGCGUGUUGAGAAUGUUUUCUCCUGUUGCUCACGUGCAUUGUUUCUGUCUUUGUCGUCCUUAAUUCAGUACGCUCUUAAAAAGGUUUUGUAAUAGUCAAAACCCAUGUAAGCAUGGUUUGGAUUUGGGUCUGGAACUGUAAUACAAAUCUCUUAAAUAGAGCUCACUCAUUCCUUAGCUCAAAUGCCUUUAUUUGUUCAAGCUCGUAGGAUAAUACUCAUUUAAUUUGCAAGUAAUGUCAUGUUAUAAAGUCAAAAACGUAUCUUUUGAAUAUCAUUAACAAGGCAGGGACUGGGAGAGAAUAGUACAUGUUAAUUUUUCAGUUUAAUUUCCUUCCUAUGUAUACAUAUCUACGUGUGUGGAUGGCUGUGUGUGUAUACAAAUACACAUCCCCCCCCCAUACGUGUGUAUGCUAGGAUAUCCAGAUGUGGUAAAUAAGGCUUUCUAUGAUAAUGCAGGCCGUAACAUGCCAGAAACUGGUUUUUUUUUUUCUUUUGACACUGUUAGCAGUCAGAUGCUAUAUUCUUCAAGCUAGAUGUAUUAAAAAGAAAGAACAAAAUCUUGUGCAACCAGAAAUUAUCUUUGCUGCUCACUGGUCAGACAGAUGUCUGUUGGGAAAAUAUGUGACAUUUAAUCAGUAAGUUAGCUAAUUGACUUAGAAAAGUCUCAGCCCAAGGUUAAAUUUCUUGAACAGAGCUGUCAGAAACAAGGGGAGAGCAGUAAAAAAAACUCACCCAGGGCAGGGUUUAUUUAGCCUGUCAUAGGUCCUGGCACGCUUUCUUUUGGAAGCUAAACCUAGCAUCAUAUCCCUCACUAAAUAUCAUUUUGGGGGCUAUAAAAUCUUCUGGAUUUUUUUUUCUGGAUUUCACAUUCUGGAAUACAUUGGUCAAUGUCUUUGUGGCUUAAACUAUUACAUUUGUAGAUAACUUACCAGACCUGAGUUAAACCAGGUUGGCUGUUUUAUUUUUCAGGCUUCUUUGUGUGAUUUGUCAAUAAUGUGUGUGUGUAUAUAUAUAUGUGUGUGUGUGUAUGUAUAUAUACAUAUACAUAUACAUAUAUAUAUAUACAUAUACACAUGUGUGUGUGUAUAUAUGUGUAUACAUAUAUAUAUCUACAUACACACACACACACACACUCGUAUUUAAGUUGAAAACAUUGUCAUUAGCCCUUGGCACGACGUCUAGAGCACCGGAUGGAUCACUGGAGCCCAGCUUCAGCCCUCAGAUCUCUCUGCAGGUACUUAUUCCUGACAGAUGCGGUAUAUGAUUUUUCCACCUUUGCCAAUCUGGCCAGAAUUGAAGCUGUAUUUAGUACAGGGCUUGGUCAUCAAACUUGAUAAAAAUAGAGUAUAGAUACAGGUUGAUAAUCUGUUUUCACAACCCUCGGGCCAGACGUGGUUCAGGAUUCAGGAGUUUGGGGGCUACUAGGAAGAUUACACAGUGUUUAUAGUGUAUAUUACACGGCACUCCCAGCCGGGCCUCGAGCCGCCUCCCCAAAUCAAACAUCUUGACAUUUCUAUUUCUGUAUUAUAUUGGAUAUUUUGAAAUACAAAUUAAAAAGAAAAAAAUCUCUUAACCUGAGUCCUUACCAUGCUUCGCUGCCAAAGGAGUUUGCAUCAAACUUGGGAAAAAGCUUGGUUUUCAAAAUUUGGGUGAUUUUACAUUUGCAGAUACGAGAUUGUGGAACUGUUGUAUUCUUUUUUUUUUUUUAAUGUUUAUGUUAAGCCAAAUCUAAAAGAUCCGUGUCGGUCUAAAUGUUAAGGCUUAAAAUGAGUUGUCCUUGUUCUAAAUUCAGAAGCCUCACUUUGAUUUGAUGGCCCCGCCUCUGUCUGACUCAUCCCCCUGACUCUUUUUUCCUACCCUUCCCCUACCAGCAGGUUUUUCCUGCUUUUGGUCCCUUCUUGCCAAACCGUCUACCUAGCCUUCUACUCUUGUUCGGUCUUGCUGGUUGUCCUCUCAAGCCUUGGCCCAGCCGUCUUCUUCAUGGCGACACGUCACAGGUGCGGGCCGGCUUUCCCAAAUUUGGACAACCAGCCCUCGGCAGGGGGUGUGCCCACACCAACUGUUACCUUUAGCUCAGCUCUCCUGCUCCUGAUGGGCUCAGAGGAACCUUCUAACACCCUGCAAAUAGGUGUUCGUUGACCAUGGUGCAUCUCCUGACUGGAAUCGAGUGUUCUAGAAAGUGUGCACUUUAACUCAAUCGUAUUUAAUAUUUUAGGUAUCUCAGGAAAUUUAUUAUAAUGUGACUUUUUCCAAUUACCUUUGUUUUACUUAAAUCAUUAAUUCUGCUAGGCUCCUGUGUAUAUUUUGGUUCAAAAUUGAGGUUCCUCUUGAAUGUGUUUUCUCUGAUAAGUGCUACAGGAGAAGAUAUUGCUUCGUAUGAUUCUGGAACUUGAAUAAAGAGACUAAAGAUUGUUCCACGUGCACUAGAGAUUAUAACUGGUUAGGGGGUUCUUUAAAAGUAAUAAACCAGUAAGCUCAAGUACUUGUCAGAAUCAGGAAGGGGGAAAUUGCAAAAAAAAAAUUUAAUAAUAAUAAUAAUAGUAGUAAUAAUACAGGUUUUUAUCUUGAAUACUUGGCAGUCAGACAACUGUAUCCCCUCGGAACCGAUUUUGUUACUGAAAUGUGUGGUUUUAGGAGCUGUCAUAUUCUGAGAAAAAGUCCACCGGGGGGGGGGGGGGGGGGAUGAAAACGCACUUGAACAUUUUCCAUACACUUCAUCAGGAACAAGUAAACAUAUUUGUCCAGUAAACUAUCUUCCUAAUGUGCUUGCAGCCCCGUGACACAGGCAGUCUGCCCAAGAACUAAAAAUAGACUGCCUUAGGAGAGAAGGGUUGAGUCCUACUUAGGCGCUCACUUAUUUGGAGAGCUUAGUUGAUAUUUCCUGAAAGGAAUGGAAAAACUCUCUAGCUGCCAAGUAACUUCAAUCCUUAAUUUCUCACAAUUAGCUCCAAUUUGCGAAACAAGAACGGUAAGAGCGAGACACUGCGUGUUGGGAAUAAGAGGAAAGCAGGAGAACCCACCAUGGCUGAGUUGCUGGAAAGGGUUUUGUGUGAAAACUCUAGGCCCUUUGACGCAAGUGCUGGAAAACAAUGGGACCGGGAAGGUGGCUUCCUGGAGAGUGGGUUUGUUUCCAAUGGGGAAACAAAGAGGAUUUCUACAUCGAAGGGGAUACGAAUGGAUUCAUUUCAUGCUAUGUACGGAGAGAUGGCGGAUAGAGCGAAGGAUCCCCGGCCAAGAAACCUACCCUGAGGUUAGGUGGGAUCUCAACACCAGAGCAGGGUGCGUUCUGGGUCACAAAACCUUGGAAUUCGGUACUAUUUCUGCCAAUACUGGAAGUGAGGUCUCGUUACGUGGGGCAAAUGGGUUGCCGUGCGUUUUGGGGUGUUCCGGUUCACGACGCGAGGCUCUUCCCUUCCCUUCUCUCUCGAAGGCCAAGGGCAGGGGCUCCAGGAGAAAUACGAGUUUAGAUAAGGGGCCUCUGAAAGCAGGGGAGCUUGGUACCUCCCUGUCAAGUUGGAAGUCAGCCGGGGCAACUUCCGGACCUGUCCGCUGGGCCUGUCCAGCGGGAAGAGGGCAGUGGCGUGGUGAGAAGGAAGCCCAGCCCUGCUCUCUCUUCCUGCUUUCUGGGUGGACAAGAAUAUGGCCCCGUAGGCUUGCCAUGACAUGGGGUGGGAGCUCGGGGUGUCUGAGGGCGCUGCGUUGACAGGGGACAGGAGGAGAGGGGGCCGAAUGCCAAUGAACAGGAAGGGGNGGGGCCUGCCGGGGGGGAAGAGGGCAGUGGCGUGGUGAGAAGGAAGCCCAGCCCUGCUCUCUCUUCCUGCUUUCUGGGUGGACAAGAAUAUGGCCCCGUAGGCUUGCCAUGACAUGGGGUGGGAGCUCGGGGUGUCUGAGGGCGCUGCGUUGACAGGGGACAGGAGGAGAGGGGGCCGAAUGCCAAUGAACAGGAAGGGGGCCUGGAAGUGAGCCCCGGUAGGAAGGGCAAGCCCGCAGACCAGGAGUGACACCUGCAGUUGAGGCAGCAAGCGAGCGAGACCGGCCUCGUCUUCCACUUCCCUGGGGAGACGUCCUCCCUCUCUCUUCUCCCCACCCCCAAACCACAAGGGGAGCUGGCACCCAGAAGAAGGAGGUGGGAACACCUAUGGGGACACGCUGCUCUUCUGUCCGCAGCUGCUGGCGUGGCAGAGAGGGCCAUCCCCUGCCCCCGGAGGAGGUAGAGGAGAGGAGAUUAUCUUUCCAAAGUGGACUGACCAGUACACUGGUCGUUUUCAAAUCUCUCGAUGGAAGAACUUUGUAAAUACAGACAAGGGCACAAAUUCUAAGCGAACAUCUGGAUGAAUUUUCACAAAGUGAGCACGAUCAGGUAUCAGCUCCCCGGAGCAAGACACUGCAUAUUACCAGCAUGGCCCCCACUGGUUCCUUUUCCCGUCAGCCCCCACCCCUCCUUGGGGUCCUUUUGACUCCAGGUGAGUUUGGCCCCCUUUUGUCUGUUACGGAAAGGGAUCACACAGCACGUGCCCUCCUGUGUCUGGCUUCCUUCACUCGACAUUAGGUUUCGAGAUCUAUCCAGGUUGUAUGUGCGGAGUGGGUCUUCUGGGACUGGUGAGGAACAGAAAUUACUAGAAAGAGGACAAAGAUGGAGUUAGGGUUCCUGCUCAGAAGGAAAGGGGACCCCCACAGCCCACUCGGAAGUAAGUUUUAAAAAUAAUAAAGCCACUUUGUGUUAGUAUUCUAAUUUCACGAUAGCUAGUUACUGUAAAUCUUGUUCUGAUUUUUGAAUCAAAUACUUCCUGUACUUUCGGGUGACUCGGGUUCACUGGCUGUUGUUGGAACAAGGGCAUAACAGAGCCACGGCUGUAGGUUUGCUCCUCACAUGGGUCAAGGUUCUAGUGACGUCCGUGGAUGAAGACUGACCUCCUAACCCCAGAGCCCAGGUCCACUUCCAAGAGCGGUUAGGCAAGACUGUAGCAUGUCUGAUACACAGUUCAUAUUGAAUGAGGUGAAGAUGUAUUAGAAGAAAACCAAGGCUGACUAAUCGAGGAUUAUAUGCAUUCAUUAUGUCAUGAUUCCCAGCUUAUGCAAAUUAUAAAUGUCCAAAGAGAUUUUCAAAUUCAUCAGCUUUUAACUGACUCAGGAACAAGUGGAGACACAAACAGUAUUUUUUCAUGUUAAAAUUUGUAUCCAUUUUUCUUUUUUUUUUUUUUUUAAUUUUUUUUUUUCAACGUUUAUUUUAUUUUUGGGACAGAGAGAGACAGAGCAUGAACGGGGGAGGGGCAGAGAGAGAGGGAGACACAGAAUCGGAAACAGGCUCCAGGCUCUGAGCCAUCAGCCCAGAGCCCGACGCGGGGCUCGAACUCACGCACCGCGAGAUCGUGACCUGGCUGAAGUCGGACGCUUAACCGACUGCGCCACCCAGGCGCCCCUGUAUCCAUUUUUCUUAUCAAAGCAUUGCACAUUCAUAUCAGGAGUACGAAAACACCAGUGAUUAUAUGUAUGUGUGUGUGUAUACUUAAUUAUAUAUAAAUUAGUUCCAACUUACAUAUGUGUGUGCACACACACACACACACACACACUUUUAAAUCUUGGAACUCACUUUGAAGUGACAGAAAAGGCCCAAGAGUGGUACCAAGAAUUCCCACUUCUCUUUGCCCAGAGACCCCAUUCAUAUUUACCCAACUUUCCUAAUAACGUCCUUGAGAGCAAAAGGAUAGAUAUUGCCUUUAGACGUUGUGUCUCAUCAGCCUUCUUCACUGUGGAACGGUUCCCCUGUCCCUCCUCGAACAAGUUACAGGCCAGUUAUUUUAGAGAACGGCCCCCAGUUUGAGUUGGCUCACAGUGUCCUCAAGAUUAGAUUUGGGUUAUGCAUCUUGAGCAGGAAGAUCACAGAUGCUACGGUGUAUUUCUCCCAUCGCAUUCCUUCCGAUAGUACAUGAUGUCGCCCGUUGCAUUCCAUGGCAUGGCACACCGGGCCGAUUUGUUCCGUCACUUCUGACGUUAACUUUGAUCCGCUGGGUAAGGUGGUGUCUACAGUUUGGUGCUACUGAAAAUCGCCUGUAUUUCUUUUAUAACUAGUAGUUAUUUUGUGAGGAGAUCACUGGAGCCAGAUUCUACCAUUUCUUCCACAUUUCCAAGUUGGUGUUGUACUAUGAGGACGAGCUUCCUCCUUGCUAUUUGUAUAUUAAUUUCUAUCAGCCAGUACUUAUAGAUUCCUGUUUGCUUUGCUAGGGUAUAAUCUCCUACCAUCACUUUGUAUUUGGAUGCUGAAGGCAUCCCGUAUUUGACCAGUGGAAGCCCCUUCGAGCCAGCUCCUGCGUCUUUUUGACAUGUCCCAUCAUUCACUGUCUUUCUGGCACAAGGUGUUCGAGGCCACCUUAAUCUUACAUUUUUCCUGGCCCAGCCCUGGAAUCAGCCAUUUCUCCAAGACCUUGUUACAAUGGUGCAAAUAUAAAUACACACGUUGAAAAUCACAUUUUCAUACCAACUGCUCCAACUUCAGUCCAACCCCGUAGAGUCCAUUCUAGGCUUCCCCCUUUUCAUAACGCAGAGGUGACGAGAAGGUAAGAAGUGAGUUUCAGCCUAAGAAGAGGGCCUACUGAAAUGUCGAUAGCCCUGGUUCCCAUCUGCUGGAAAAGUCACUCCGUCCUUGCGGCCUCGAGCUAUUUCGCAUUCACGUAGUCCUAGCGUUGAUGGGGUUGUUUCCACCCGGGUUGCAGGAAGAGGAACACCUGGAUUCUUGGCACCAUCAGGAUCACCUAGAACAGGUUGAUGAGAUGGGCCUUUUGUGUGAAAUCCGAACUGUACGACAUGCUUCUCAGUGUAUGAAGAGCACGAUCGUAUUUGAAAUUUUACAAACUGGGACAGGCCUUCCGAAACAAGUGAUUGCUCUUUGGCGUGUUUUAAGAGGGUUACUUCGCAAAUGCCCACUGAAGCUGGUCAGUCUUGUUUACCGACCAGCAAUUACAGGAAAGGAAAUAUUUGUGAGGCUGUUCUGAAGCUGCCCCUUAGGGCACUGCCCCAGCGUGUGUACUUUUUACUCACAGAUUGCUUGGGUAGCUGACAUUAUGGAUGUGCUUUAUUGGCCUACUUAGAGACCUAAGCCCUUGCUAAGUACUAAAUUACUGUACUCCCAUUUCACAGAUCACGAAAUUGACGUUGACAUAAUUUUAGGAACUUGCCCUUCUUGGCAGAACGUGGUCGAGGUGGGACUUGAACCCAGGCCCUGUGGCCCCGCUGGCUCUGGGCUUAGCCAUCACGCUUAACUGCCCACCGAAAAGUUUGGAAGAUUGUGUCAUCUGAAAAGCCAUAUUCUGCGUCAUGGGAAUAGAUAUGCCUCAUCACCUAAAUGAAAGAGAGACGAUUAAUUACCUAGGGAAUUGAGAGCAAACCCAUUUCCCCUGAUUCUCAGGCCUCCUUCGUGGGGUACAAGCUGUUGCGUUUUCAGGGUAGAGGUGAGGGUAAGAGGCAGGGUAAAGAUGAAAGCAGAGAGGCCUGUCCAUCAGCUUUGCCCCUCACUUUGCCUUGUCUGGAGCUAUCAGACUCAAGCUCCGAGAAUAUGUGUUCAAACUCAGCCUAUUGCUUAUUAAAACCGCGCCCCCCCCCNAAGAGCGAGAGAGAUGUUACGUGCUCCCUCUCCACACACACCACUAAAUGGAUGGACCAUAUACUCAGUGGCUUGUCACCCUGAAAGUGGCUGCUGAAAGAGCCUGGUGCGUGCUCCAAGCUUCCCUCCUCUUCCCCAAACCUCCUCUCAUGGUGGGUGGGCAGCACGACUGAGCUGCCCGGAAGAAGACUCCAGACCUUGACUCUGAGCUUGAUUUGUGUUGCAGAUUGCUGGGCUGAUCGAUCCCCACUUCAUGAAGCUGCGGCCCAGGGGCGCUUACUGGCCCUUAAAACUUUAAUUGCACAAGUAAGUGAACC
rnacentral:lncRNA from 1 species